AUGUCGCUGAUCGCGGGUGAGGAGUUCCAGCACAUCCUGCGUGUGCUCAACACCAACGUCGACGGUAAGCAGAAGAUCAUGUUCGCGCUCACCUCCAUCAAGGGUGUGGGCCGCCGCUUCUCCAACAUCGUCUGCAAGAAGGCCGACAUCGACAUGAACAAGAGGGCUGGAGAGCUUUCCGCGGAGGAGAUGGACCGUCUGAUGGCGGUGGUGCACAACCCACGCCAGUUCAAGGUGCCGGACUGGUUCCUCAACAGGAAGAAGGACUACAAGGACGGCAGGUUCUCCCAGCCUCCCAGGUCGUCUCCAACGCCGAACCAUCGUGGUCUGCGUCACUACUGGGGCGUGCGUGUCCGUGGUCAGCACACCAAGACUACCGGCAGGAGAGGAAAGACUGUUGGUGUCUCCAAGAAACGAUAA
rnacentral:rRNA from 1 species